CAAUAGCGUAUAUUAAAGUUGUUGCAGUUAAAAAGCUCGUAGUUGGAUUUCUGGUUGAAGCGACCGGUCGGGCGUUGAUUCGUCUGCACUGGAGUCGGUUUUGGCCAUCCUCUAGGAAAGUGCGUCUGGUAUUAAGUUAUCGGGCGUAUGAUCCUGGUCUUUUACUGUGAAAAAAUUAGAGUGUUUAAAGCAGGCCUUCGCCUUGAAUACAUUAGCAUGGAAUAAUAAGAUAGGACUUUGGUCUAUUUUGUUGGUUUGCAGACCGAAGUAAUGAUUAAUAGGGAUAGUUGGGGGUAUUUAUAUUCCGAUGUCAGAGGUAAAAUUCUUAGAUUUUCGGAAGAUAAACUUAUGCGAAAGCAUUUACCAAGGAUGUUUUCAUUAA
rnacentral:rRNA from 1 species